AAUUUUAAUACCCAAUCACAAAUUUUAUCAAUUCAUUAAAUACUUACCUUAAAAUACUUACCACACAUACAUAUUAAAUUAAACACAUAUUAAUUAUAAAGCUUGAGUUAUAGUGAUACAAACCAGAAUUUUCUUCGAAUUUAAUCCUUGAUGAUCUUUUCUUUUCCUUUUUGGGCUGAUGCUUCAGGCUCGAUAUUAGCUACAAACAAUUAAAAUAGUUCCACAAUUAUUAGCAUAACACAAUUUAAAUACUGAAAUUUUUAUUUAACUUUUACUUUAAUUCUAAUUUAGUCCAAACUAAACUCAUAUAUUUUUCUUCUUCAGUUCAUAUUUUUUAUUACUCAAUUCCCUACCAAACUUACAUUUAACUAUCAAGUUUUCAUCAUAUUUUCAUAAUUUUGAAUUUCUAUCAAUUUAGUCCCUAUAACAUAAAACUUAUGGCAUAGUUUACAAUUUAAUCCUUUAAUUAGUUCCAAUUAAAAUUUCUAUCAAAUAAACCCCCAAUUCCAUCAUUUGUUCAACAUAAACCCUACUAAAUAAAAAUCAUUAACUUUCAAAAUUUUAACUCAAAUCCAAGAGUAUUUCACUCUAGGAUUCCAAAAAUAUUAAAAUUAAAAGAAAAGGACUAAAAUUAACUUAACAAUUAACAUGGAAUCCCAAAAUCCCUAUUUUUCCUUUCUUCUUUUCUUUCCCCGAUUUCUUCUUUCUAUUUCGUGAGCUCUCUGUAACUUUUUCUUCUUUCCUUUUUCAAUUUGUUUUGUAGCAGGCCAAAAUUGCCCGGCCCAAGCCCAAAGUAGACAACCCAAAAUGCUUAAAAUGAAUAACAGUCUAAAGUUAUUACAGUCCAAAUCCGGGCCCUAAACAACCUAAACAAAUGACCUACUACCCAACUACAACCUAGCAGGCCCUAUUUGCAAAUGGCCCAAACACAACCCAAAAUCCCUAACCCAAUUUCUAUCAGCCCAAUUGGCCUAAAACAUUAAACCAACUCAGAAAUCCUAGGGUUUCUGAGCCUCCCCCGCGCCGCAGCCACCACCCACAUGCCUCAGCGCGCACUCUGCCCAAAGGUCCACUCUCCUUCCACGGAAGUGGAAACUUCCUCGUCCGUUGACCCUCCAUGGACCUGCAAACAUGCAAAAAAGGAGCAAAAACAAAAUAACACGCAAAGGCAAUAGAGAAAUGGAUAUGUAUUCGACUAUAUAGCCAGAGACAAAAUGUAAAUUUUGAACACAUGAAUAUUGAACAACCAAAAAGCGAAAAGACAAGAAAAAAGGUUGACUGUUUAUUUAUAUUUCUUGUUUUCAUUUCAUUUCGUUUUUUAUUUUUAUUUUUUAUCUUUUCUAUUUUAUUACGAAUCUAUUUUAAACAAAAAAAUAUAAGAGAAGAAACCUCACUGGAUAAUCCUGAGUCACGUCGUCGGACAUGUUCUUCGUCGUCAAAAUUGGACUUAAAAGGAAGGGGGAGGGACCUUUUCUUUCGCAUUUUCUGAGUUUGGAGGGCUUUGCUUUCGGACCCUCUUAAAAAGGGCCAAAAAUCUGGUCUUUGCGUGGCUCCGACCACCGUCCACGGUGGAACCACGACGAUCAAGGCGACGACGAUGAUGGGUUAAGAAACCCUGGCACAGAAAAAUUAUAAAAGGAGGGGCUGCUCUCUGUUUUUUGUAGAAGAAAAGGGAAGAAAUGAAAAAAAAAAGUAAAAAAAAUUUAGUUUAAAUAGCAGUGCAAAACGGUGCCGUUUUGCACCAAAG
rnacentral:lncRNA from 1 species